UUUCAUCAACUCCUGAAAUGCAAAACCUUCUGUGGCAAGAGAGAAAAGGCAGUCUUAUGACUGUGGCUCUGACCUAAAGGACACGCUCUCUCCAAGUAUGAUUUCACUCAGGUAGUGAGAGCAAGAGCUGCAUUCAAAAACAAGAAGAUUGGCCUUAGGCAGACAGGUCUCCGUGUGUGCAACUUAUCCAGAAGCUGGCUCUUUCUGCAGUACAGUGUGUCCUCUGAUGCUCAUGUUUGGACCUUGCUUCAGCAAUGGCUCAGAGUUCCAGCUAUUGUUUCACUAACACCAGUUCCUGCCGUGCUGGGGGUUUCCCCUCUCAUCUCUUUCCCAUAUUAUCAACUAGACCCAACCCUCUUCUGUUCAUAAAAUCUGACGGGAGGCCCCAGAUUGGGCUACGAUGGCUACUAUAUGCUGUUUAUGCAAUUCUAGCAUUGCAGCUACCGUGCAGAAGAAAUAAUGGUUAUUCAUUUUCAUAUCUGACGUGGGAACCCAAAUGCUUUGAGGCAUCAAUGAGAGGAACAGUCAUUGCGAUACAGGGCAGGCGGCAGCACUUUGUCAAAGACUGUGCUUUGGUAGAAGUACCCUCUGUAAUCAGCGUGUCUUGCAGCUGUGUGUGGCUUCUCUGCAGAAGAGACACUGUCAUUUCUGUAGUUGACUUGAGGGGAAAAAGAGGCGGAUAGGCUUGCAAAUGUUAAGAUUUACCAGUGUACAAAGAUCCAUGCAAAGCAAGGGGAAGACCUUUUGCUAUUUAAACAGAAAUAUGGACAGAGAGAGUGUGUCUUAGAAACAAGACAUCAAGUGGAUUGCUUGACUGCAGCUGUAAAUUCGGACUGUGUAAGACUGGAAAGAGCUGAGGGUAUCAACCUCGUAUGUCCUGUAGCACAAGGACAUGGAAAAUGGAAAAAUGAACAUGUGAUGUACAGGCUAAGCCACUGUUUUAAAUGUGUCCGUGCCACCACAGCCAGCCACCUGGGCUAGCUGUGUUCAUUUCUUCUGUUAUCAUUUCUUCUAAAGCUUAAGAGGGUUUACAAAACAUGCCUGUCAAAACUUAAAUAUUUAUGACAGCUCUCAUCUGUGCAACACACAUGCCACUGUGAUGGGACUGCUAAUAUGAACUUUCCUGAUACACUUCAUCUCAUCAAGGCUAAUGAGAAUAGCCAUUACAUGUGUUCAGAUGUGUACUUGACUUAUGGCAAUGCCCAAAUCUCAUAUGGUUGCAAUCUUCCUUGCAUGUGGAUAUUUCCAGAAGAUUUUUUUAAAUUUUUUUUUAACUUUUCAUUUAUGUUUCUUAUGGAAAUACAGAAGAAAUGGUUAAUUUGCCCUGUGUAUGGGCUUUUCUAUUUAUUAACAAUUUUCCGUAUUCAUGUUAACCCUACUUUUUUUUCUUCACCUCCAUUUACAGUUACGUUCUUUAAUCAUCUGCAAAUAUGGAUUAUAAUCUCUUUUGAGAAGAAGCUAUAUGUCCUUUACUGCUCUGAAGAGCAUAGGGCACUCUGAAGUGUCAUAAAAUCUUAAUGUGCUCAUCUUAAAGUGCAUCUUUUUCAUAUGUCCUUAACCUUGCACCUCAGCAGCAGUCUAAAUUCAAUUCAUUCACUAUUUAGUGCUAUCCUCAGAGAUGGGCUAGGAGGUGGAAUGAGCAGGUGUCCUAGUCAACCUGAGAAGUUGCUUGGUAUUUUGCUUCAUUUGUGAUGCUUCAGCACAAGACACAGAUUUCCAUUUUAAGUGCCUUUGUGGGCACUGUUGGUAAAUUCUGACAGUAAUAAAUACGAUUAUUCUGCUUGAGCCUUAAA